CGCGGCCUAUCAGCUUGUUGGUGGGGUGAAGGCCUACCAAGGCGACGACGGGUAGCCGGCCUGAGAGGGCGACCGGUCACACUGGGACUGAGACACGGCCCAGACUCCUACGGGAGGCAGCAGUAGGGAAUAUUGCGCAAUGGACGAAAGUCUGACGCAGCAACGCCGCGUGAGGGAUGAAGUACAUCGAGACGUAAACCUCUUUCAGCAGGGACGAAGCUAACGUGACGGUACCUCCAGAAGAAGCCCCGGCCAACUACGUGCCAGCAGCCGCGGUAAUACGUAGGGGGCGAGCGUUGUCCGGAUUCAUUGGGCGUAAAGAGCUCGUAGGCGGCUCAGUAAGUCGGCCGUGAAAGCCCGGAGCUCAACUCCGGGACGCCGGUCGAUACUGCUGUGGCUAGGGUCCGGUAGAGGAGAGUGGAAUUCCCGGUGUAGCGGUGAAAUGCGCAGAUAUCGGGAGGAACACCAGUAGCGAAGGCGGCUCUCUGGGCCGGUACCGACGCUGAGGAGCGAAAGCUAGGGGAGCAAACAGGAUUAGAUACCCUGGUAGUCCUAGCCGUAAACGUUGGGCACUAGGUGUGGCGGAUUCAUUGACAUCUGCCGUGCCGGCGCUAACGCAUUAAGUGCCCCGCCUGGGGAGUACGG
rnacentral:rRNA from 1 species